GACAGAGGGUGCAAACGUUGUUCGGAAUUACUGGGCGUAAAGCGUGUGUAGGCGGCUUUGCAAGUCGGAUGUGAAAGCCCCGGGCUCAACCCGGGAAGUGCACUCGAUACUGCAGAGCUUGAGUGUCGGAGAGGUUGGUGGAAUUCUCGGUGUAGAGGUGAAAUUCGUAGAUAUCGAGAGGAACACCGGUGGCGAAGGCGGCCAACUGGACGAACACUGACGCUGAGGAACGAAAGCUAGGGGAGCAAACAGG
rnacentral:rRNA from 1 species